rnacentral:rRNA from 1 species
UACAGAGGGUGCGAGCGUUAAUCGGAAUUACUGGGCGUAAAGGGCGCGUAGGCGGCCUUCUAAGUCAGACGUGAAAUCCCCCGGCUUAACCUGGGAACUGCGUCUGAUACUGGGAGGCUUGAGUAUGGGAGAGGGAUGUAGAAUUCCAGGUGUAGCGGUGAAAUGCGUAGAUAUCUGGAGGAAUACCGGUGGCGAAGGCGGCAUCCUGGACCAUAACUGACGCUGAGGCGCGAAAGCUAGGGGAGCAAACGGG